CUUGGCUUAGUUAGAUUGGAUCUGUAUACAUGCUUAGGAUCGUAUAGCGUUUAUCCAUCGGAUCCAUGGGUAAAUGAUAGAUAUUGUGUAGGCGUGGUGCUUAUACCGUAUUUAUCUGCGAUUGUACCCAAUAUGCCAGAUCGUGGGGUAGUUCGUGAUAGUGACAGCUUCAUUGAUUCUUAUAUAGUCCCCCUCUCGUGUAUUGGGCUGGC
rnacentral:lncRNA from 1 species